CUAUGCCUACGGGACGCAGCAGUGGGGGAUAUUGCACAAUGGAGGAAACUCUGAUGCAGCGACGCCGCGUGAGGGAAGACGGUCUUCGGAUUGUAAACCUCUGUCUUUGGGGAAGAAAAUGACGGUACGCAAAGAGGAAGAUCCGGCCAACUACGAGCCAGCAGCCGCGGUAAUACGUAGGGAGCGAGCGUUGUCCGGAAUUACUGGGUGUAAAGGGAGCGUAGGCGGGAGAGAAAGCUGAAUGCUAAGUCUA
rnacentral:rRNA from 1 species